rnacentral:rRNA from 1 species
GACGAAUGCUGGCUGCGUGCUUAACACAUGCAAGUCGAACGGUGAAAGGGAGCUUGCUCCCUGGAUCAGUGGCGAACGGGUGAGUAACACGUGGGCAACCUGCCCCUCACUCUGGGAUAACUCCGGGAAACCGGGGCUAAUACCGGAUACGACCUGGUGCGACAUCGCACCGGGUGGAAAGAACUUCGGUGAGGGAUGGGCCCGCGGCCUAUCAGCUUGUUGGUGGGGUAACGGCCCACGAAGGCGACGACGGGUAGCCGGCCUGAGAGGGCGACCGGCCACACUGGGACUGGGACACGGCCCAGACUCCUACGGGAGGCAGCAGUGGGGAAUAUUGCGCAAUGGGCGAAAGCCUGACGCAGCGACGCAGCGUGAGGGACGAAGGCCUUCGGGUUGUAAACCUCUUUCAGCGGGGACGAAGCGAAAGUGACGGUACCCGCAGAAGAAGCACCGGCUAACUACGUGCCAGCCGCCGCCGUAAAAC